AACGCACAUUGCGCCCUUUGGUAUUCCUUAGAGCAUGCCUGUUCGAGCGUCAUAUAACUACUCAAGCCUAGCUUAGUUAUAGGUGCCUGUCCCGCCCUGCGCGUAGACUCACCUCAAAUCUAUUAGCGGCCCCCUGCCGGCCACGAGCGCAGCAGAAACGCAGUCUCGUGCCCUGGCAGGGCGGCUCCUAGAAGCAAACCCCCCUAUGUUUGACCUCAGAUCAGGUAGGGAUACCUGCUGAACUUAA
rnacentral:misc_RNA from 1 species